UACGUAGGGACCAAGCGUUGUUCGGAUUUACUGGGCGUAAAGGGGGCGUAGGCGGCGCGGUAAGUCACUUGUGAAAUCUCUGAGCUUAACUCAGAACGGCCAAGUGAUACUGCAGUGCUAGAGUGUGGAAGGGGCAAUCGGAAUUCUUGGUGUAGCGGUGAAAUGCGUAGAUAUCAAGAGGAACACCUGAGGUGAAGACGGGUUGCUGGGCCAACACUGACGCUGAGGCGCGAAAGCCAGGGGAGCAAACGGG
rnacentral:rRNA from 1 species